GAUGAAGAACGUAGCGAAAUGCGAUACUUGGUGUGAAUUGCAGAAUCCCGUGAACCAUCGAGUCUUUGAACGCAAGUUGCGCCCGAAGCCAUCAGGUUGAGGGCACGUCUGCCUGGGCGUCACAUAUCGUUGCUCGAUGCCUAUCGCAUUGCGAUAGGACUUAGGGCGAAUGAUGGCUUCCCGUGAGCGUUGUUGCCUCGCGGUUGGUUGAAAAUCGAGUGCAUGGUGUCGGGUGUACCAUGAUGGAUGGUGGUUGAGUGAUGAUGCUCGAGACCAAUCAUGGGUAACUCCACCAGAAUUGGGCUCGGUGACCCACAUGCGUCCCUUGGAUGUUCCCUAAGGAGACCUCAGGUCAGGCGGGGCUACCCGCUGAGUUUAAGCAUAUCAAUAAGCGGAGGA
rnacentral:misc_RNA from 1 species